GUGCCAGCAGCCGCGGUAACACGUAGGAUCCGAGCGUUAUCCGAAUUUACUGGGCGUAAAGCGCGUGUAGGCGGCCGGGUAAGUUGGACGUGAAAUCUCCUGGCUCAACUGGGAGGGGACGUACAAGACUGCCUGGCUAGAGGGCGGUAGAGGGAGGUGGAAUUCCCGGUGUAGUGGUGAAAUGCGUAGAUAUCGGGAGGAACACCAGUGGCGAAGGCGGCCUCCUGGGCCGCACCUGACGCUCAGACGCGAAAGCUAGGGGAGCGAACGGGAUUAGAUACCCCCGUAGUCC
rnacentral:rRNA from 1 species